rnacentral:rRNA from 1 species
GAUGAACGCUGGCGGCGUGCCUAAUACAUGCAAGUCGAGCGAACAGAUAAGGAGCUUGCUCCUUUGACGUUAGCGGCGGACGGGUGAGUUACACGUGGAUAACCUACCUAUAAGACUGGGAUAACUUCGGGAAACCGGAGAUAAUAACAGAUAACAUAUUGUACCGCAUGGUUCAAUAGUGAUAGGCGGCUUUGCCGUCACUUAUAGAUGGAUCCGCGCCGUAUUAGCUAGUUGGUAAGGUAACGGCUUACCAAGGCAACGAUACGUAGCCGACCUGAGAGGGUGAUCGGCCACACUGGAACUGAGACACGGUCCAGACUCCUACGGGAGGCAGCAGUAGGGAAUCUUCCGCAAUGGGCGAAAGCCUGACGGAGCAACGCUGCGUGAGUGAUGAAGGUCUUCGGAUCGUAAAACUCUGUUAUCAGGGAAGAACAAAUGUGGAAGUAACUGUGCACAUCUUGACGGUACCUGAUGAGAAAGCCACGGCUAACUACGUG